rnacentral:rRNA from 1 species
GAUGAACGCUGGCGGCGUGCCUAAUACAUGCAAGUCGAGCGAAGCGGGGACGGGUGAGUAACACGUGGAUAACCUCCUAUAAGACUGGGAAAAACUCGGGAAACCGGAGCUAAACCGGAAACUUAAAGAUGGAUCCGCGUUGCAUUAGGUAGUGGGUAAGGUAACGGCUUACCAAGGCAACGAUGCAUAGCCGACCUGAGAGGGUGAUCGGCCACACUGGAACUGAGACACGGUCCAGACUCCUACGGGAGGCAGCAGUGGGGAAUCUUCCGCAAUGGGCGAAAGCCUGACGCAGCCACGCCGCGUGAGUGAUGAAGGUCUUCGGAUCGUAAAACUCUGUUAUUGGGGAAGCGGUACCUAAUCAGAAAGCCACGGCUAACUCCGUGCCAGCAGCCGCGGUAAUUC